UUAAGCUCAGAGUUCUUCAGCUGUGACAUAACUCAACUGUGUGCAAAUCCCCCUGAGCCCAGCUCAGGUUCAACUCCGUGGAGCUUGGUGGGUAAGAGGAACUGAUGCACUGCCUGCUCUGUGAUGCAUAAUAGAGUAAUAAACUCCUUUUUCUCUAACCCAGGAGCUUCAUGUCUCCUGUCAUCAUCUAGGAAAGUGGUAUCUUGCAAUCGGUAAAAUCUCAGACCCAGCACAGUUCUUGAAAUGUAAAAUGACUCUUCUUUUACUUUCAUUUCUUGGGAAGCAUGUUUUUAUUAUCUGUCACUACCACACAUUCUUACAGAACUUUCUGAGAGUUCCUCCAGUAAUAGAAGGGCUUAUGAAUGCUCAUGGAAGUGGAUAAAAAUGUAUCUGAUAUGGACAGGAGACGGAAAUACUGGGUAGAAAAGGGCAGUUCCCUGGCAAAGCCUCACCCUCAAGCCUGGAUACCUGCUGUCUUAAACGAAAACGAAAACAGGCAUUUCUGUGUUCAUGCUCCAAAAGUUAUCUUUUGGCCUGCCACACCCCCUAUCCUGCACCCAUAUGAAUCCCGAACCCCAGACUCCAGAAGCAGACCAGCAAGCCCGCAGACCAGCAGAAGGAUGGCAGAACGAUGUGGCAGAGAAAGGGAGAAGAGGAGGAACAUCUGAAUGCCAAAAUGAGUUCAGCUGGGGGCAGUCAGAGAGGAGUCCAGCCACUGGGCAGCCAGAAUCCAGGGGAGGAUCACCUUUCCACUUCAUCCCCUUCCUCUGCCUCCCCAUCCAUCCUGCUGAAAGCCACCUCCACCACUCAAUAAAACCUGCCAUUCAUCCUUGGAGUCCAUGUGUGACCUGAUUUUUCCAAGACACUGGACAAGAGCUCAGAUACAGAAAGCUAUCACCUUGGCCCUCUGCCCUUGUGAAAAGGCAGAGAGUUCAUUGAGCUGAUUAACACUCAAGCCAUCUGCAGACGGCAAAGCUGAAAGAGCAUUGUGGCUCACUCCUGCAAUCCCAGGACUUUGGGAGGCCAAGGCGGGUGGAUCACAAGGUCAGGAGUUCGAGACCAGCCUGGCCAACAUGGUGAAACCCCGUCUCUACUAAAAAUACAGAAAUUAGCUGGGCAUGGUGGUGUGCAAUCCCAGCUACUCGGGAGGCUGGCACAGGAGAAUUGCUUGAACCAGGGAGGCAGAAGUUGCAGUGGGCCGAGAUCACGCCACUGCACUCCAGCCUGGGUGACAGAGUGAGACACC
rnacentral:lncRNA from 10 species